GAUGAACGCUGGCGGCGUGCUUAACACAUGCAAGUCGAACGGGAAUUAUCUUAUUGAAACUUCGGUCGAUUUAAUUUACUUCUAGUGGCGGCCGGGUGAGUCACGCGUGGGUAACCUGCCUUAUACAGGGGGAUAACAGUCAGAAAUGGCUGCUAAUACCGCAUAAGCGCACAGAGCUGCAUGGCUCAGUGUGAAAAACUCCGGUGGGAUAAGAUGGACCCGCGUUGGAUUAGCUGGUUGGUGGGGUAACGGCCCACCAAGGCGACGAUCCAUAGCCGGCCGGGGGGGGUGACCGACCGCAUUGGGGCUGAGGCACAGCCCAGACUCCUACGGAGGGCAGCAGUGGAGAAUAUUGCACGAUGGGGGAAACCGUGAUGCAGCGACGCCGCGGGAAGGAAGAAGUAGCUCGGUAUGUAAACUUCUAUCAGCAGAGAAGAUAGUGACGGUACCUGACAAAGAAGCCCCGGCUAACUACGUG
rnacentral:rRNA from 1 species